GACGAACGCUGGCGGCGUGCUUAACACAUGCAAGUCGAACGGAAAGGCACUGCUUUUGUGGGCUGCUCGAGUUGCGAACGGGUGAGUAACACGUAAGUAACCUGCCCUUGACUUUGGGAUAACUUCAGGAAACGGUGGCUAAUACCGGAUAGGAGCUCCUGCUGCAUGGUGGUGGUUGGAAAGUUUCGGCGGUUGGGGUUGGACUCGCGGCUUCUCUGCUUGUUGGUGGUGUAGUGGCUUACAAAGGCCUUGGCGGGGAGCCGGACUGAGAGGGUGACAGGCCACAGUGGGACUGGGAUGCGGGCCAGACUCCUACGGGAGGCAGCAGUGGGGAAUAGUGCACGAUGGGCGGAAGCCUGAUGCAGCAACGCCGCGUGCGGGAUGACGGCCUUCGGGUUGUAAACCGCUUUCGCCUGUGACGAAGAGUGAGUGACGGUAAUGGGUAAAGAAGCACCGGCUAACUACGUG
rnacentral:rRNA from 1 species